UACGGAGGACCCAAGCGUUAUCCGGAUUUAUUGGGUUUAAAGGGUGCGUAGGCGGAUUGAUAAGUUAGAGGUGAAAUGUCCGAGCUCAACUCGGGAACUGCCUCUAAUACUGUUGAUCUAGAGAGUAGAUGCGGUAGGCGGAAUGUAUGGUGUAGCGGUGAAAUGCUUAGAGAUCAUACAGAACACCGAUUGCGAAGGCAGCUUACCAAUCUAUAUCUGACGUUGAGGCACGAAAGCGUGGGGAGCAAACAGG
rnacentral:rRNA from 1 species